CAGCAGCCGCGGGAAUACGGAGGGGGCUAGCGUUGUUCGGAAUUACUGGGCGUAAAGCGCGCGUAGGUGGUUCGCCAAGUUGGAUGUGAAAUCCCCGGGCUCAACCUGGGAACUGCAUCCAAAACUGGCGAGCUAGAGUAUGGUAGAGGGUGGUGGAAUUUCCUGUGUAGCGGUGAAAUGCGUAGAUAUAGGAAGGAACAUCAGUGGCGAAGGCGACCACCUGGACUGAUACUGACACUGAGGUGCGAAAGCGUGGGGAGCAAACAGGAUUAGAUACCCCAGUAGUCCCUGUCUCUUAUAC
rnacentral:rRNA from 1 species